AUUGAACGCUGGCGGCAUGCUUUACACAUGCAAGUCGAACGGUAACAGGGAGCUUGCUCCGCUGACGAGUGGCGAACGGGUGAGUAAUGCGUCGGAACGUGCCGAGUAGUGGGGGAUAACGCAUCGAAAGGUGUGCUAAUACCGCAUACGUACUGAGGUAGAAAGUGGGGGACCUUCGGGCCUCACGCUAUUCGAGCGGCCGACGUCUGAUUAGCUAGUUGGUGAGGUAAAGGCUCACCAAGGAGACGAUCAGUAGCGGGUCUGAGAGGAUGAUCCGCCACACUGGGACUGAGCAACGGCCCAGACUCCUACGGGAGGCAGCAGUGGGGAAUUUUGGACAAUGGGCGCAAGCCUGAUCCAGCCAUGCCGCGUGUCUGAAGAAGGCCUUCGGGUUGUAAAGGACUUUUGUCCGGGAGCAAAUGCUGGUGGCUAACAUCCACCGGAGCUGAGAGUACCGGAAGAAUAAGCACCGGCUAACUACGUGCCAGCAGCCGCCGUAACAC
rnacentral:rRNA from 1 species